CACGUAGGGUGCGAGCGUUAAUCGGAAUUACUGGGCGUAAAGCGUGCGCAGGCGGUUUUGUAAGCCAGAUGUGAAAUCCCCGGGCUUAACCUGGGAAUGGCAUUGGUGACUGUACGACUAGAGUGUGUCAGAGGGGGGUAGAAUUCCACGUGUAGCAGUGAAAUGCGUAGAGAUGUGGAGGAAUACCGAUGGCGAAGGCAGCCCCCUGGGAUAACACUGACGCUCAUGCACGAAAGCGUGGGGAGCAAACAGG
rnacentral:rRNA from 1 species